UCAGCAUGACCGGGCAAAAAAAUUCAAUAACAAGUAGGAAAAAAUGGAAAGAGCAUUUUCGUGGGCGACACGUCAAACAAAUUGCGCUCUUAACGUCGAGAACAAUCCACAAAACGAUUGUGAAAUCAAAAAUUCCGAACCCCAAGUUCCGAGAGUUACUCAUUUGAACAUAAUGCCGAAAUCCAGCUGAAUCAUGGGAAACACGAGAUCAUCAAAAAAACCAGUUGGACGGCAUUGCCAAAUGUGCGUCACAGGAAAAUAAAGUGAAAAGCGCAAACUAUUUAAAGAGCAAAGCCAAAGAGAAUGGAUAGGACGAAGAGCCCCAAUAAUCUCUUACCUCCACAUCAUCGAGAUCUUCUGCCGGCCUCCCAUAUGAGCACAUUUAGCCUACAUACAUCUACUUUCUCGAUUCCGUUUGCCGGUGAUUCGCUUUGUGUACAGCUGCGCUGAUCUUUCUCCGAUCUCCGCUUUAGAAUACAUAUUAUACCAU
ensembl:ncRNA lncRNA:CR46015 long non-coding RNA:CR46015